GGCGGGAAGUUGACUUAGCAUUGACUUCUAAUCUGUUGCUAGAGAGGGUAUCGAACUUUCUCCCGUCU
rnacentral:tRNA from 1 species